GACGAAGGGGGCUAGCGUUGCUCGGAAUUACUGGGCGUAAAGGGCGCGUAGGCGGAUACUUAAGUCGGGGGUGAAAGCCCGGGGCUCAACCUCGGAAUUGCCUUCGAUACUGGGUAUCUUGAGUUCGGGAGAGGUGAGUGGAACUCCGAGUGUAGAGGUGAAAUUCGUAGAUAUUCGGAAGAACACCAGUGGCGAAGGCGACUCACUGGCCCGAUACUGACGCUGAUGCGCGAAAGCGUGGGGAGCAAACAGG
rnacentral:rRNA from 1 species